GCUUCGGCUCCCGCUAUCGGAUGAGCCUAUGUCGGAUUAGCUAGUUGGUGAGGUAAAGGCUCACCAAGGCAACGAUCCGUAGCUGGUCUGAGAGGAUGAUCAGCCACAUCGGGACUGAGACACGGCCCGAACUCCUACGGGAGGCAGCAGUGGGGAAUAUUGGACAAUGGGGGCAACCCUGAUCCAGCCAUGCCGCGUGUGUGAAGAAGGCCCUCGGGUUGUAAAGCACUUUCAGCGAGGAAGAACGCCUAGUGGUUAAUACCCGCUAGGAAAGACAUCACUCGCAGAAGAAGCACCGGCUAACUCCGUGCCAGCAGCCGCGGUAAUACGGAGGGUGCAAGCGUUAAUCGGAAUUACUGGGCGUAAAGCGCGCGUAGGUGGCUUGAUAAGCCGGUUGUGAAAGCCCCGGGCUCAACCUGGGAACGGCAUCCGGAACUGUCAAGCUAGAGUGCAGGAGAGGAAGGUAGAAUUCCCGGUGUAGCGGUGAAAUGCGUAGAGAUCGGGAGGAAUACCAGUGGCGAAGGCGGCCUUCUGGACUGACACUGACACUGAGGUGCGAA
rnacentral:rRNA from 1 species